rnacentral:lncRNA from 1 species
GGACUUAAGACAUUUUAUUCGGAUAUUCAAGGAAGACAUCACCCAGGAGGCUGAAGGGCUUGAGGCUAUUUGAGAAACAGAAGAAAGAGAAACCCAUGCAGCUAACAGACUCAGUCACUAAGUCACAAUUCCAACUCCUCCUGGCAGAAAAUCUAAUGACUCAUCUUUGGCUCUGGCUUCUGAUCUGCUGUGGCCAAGUUAAGGAGCAGAUAUCACAUGGUGAUUGGACUGCCUCUUCCAGUGCCGUGAGUCCUCUCACAGAGAGGAGUAAGCGGAGAAAGAAUGAUUGGCACCUCUAGAGUACGCACCAAGCCAAUCUGCAGAUCACAGGGAAGGUGACCUGAAGGUUAUUUUAUGAACUGCUCAAGAUAGAACAGAAACAACUUUGCCUUACACUUUACACAUUACUUAUCCAGGCACUUUCGGGAAAGUAAAAGUUGCAAAGUAAAGUUAUAUAACAUAGAGUAAAAUCCUAAAAGGUAGUC